UUGUGUAGGCGCCUUGGGCAAUAUUGCUUGCCUAGGCAUUGAGCCGCCCCUUCUCAGAUGUUCGUUUCUUCCUCUUCCCCUUCUCAAAUGUUCGUUUCCUUCUCUUCUCCUCCUUUCUUCCCUCAGAAGCCUCUGUUUUCCAACUUUUGUAGGAGCCAAAGGGUAUCUGGGUUAUGGAGAAAUCCCCAGAUUGUGAGGAACAGCGUGGUCAGAGCAGGUCCGAAGAGGGUAUCUUUUGGUAGAGAAUGUAGGGAGGCCUUGCAAGCUGGGAUUGAUAAGCUGGCUGAUGCUGUUUCUCUCACCUUAGGACCUAGAGGACGUAAUGUUGUGCUUUCUGAGUCUGGAACGCUAAAAAUAAUAAAUGAUGGUGUUACAAUUGCUCGAUCAAUAGAGCUUUCAGAUGCAGUUGAGAAUGCAGGAGCGACGCUAAUCCAAGAGGUUGCAAGUAAAACGAAUGAUUUGGCUGGUGAUGGUACAACUACUGCAAUUGUUUUGGCUCGAGCAAUGAUCAAAUCUGGGUUGUUGGCUGUUGCCUUUGGGGCUAACCCGAUCUCUUUGAAGAAAGGCAUGGAAAAGACUGUAAAAGAAUUGGUUGAGGUCUUGAAGAAGAAAAGUGUGCCUGUAAAAGGAAGAGAUGAUAUUAAAGCUGUGGCCUCAAUUGCUGCUGGAAAUGAUGAAUUUGUUGGGAACUUAAUUGCUGAAGCUAUAGAAAAGAUUGGCCCUGAUGGAGUAAUCUCUAUAGAGUCAUCUUCAUCAUCUGAGACCUCUGUGAUAAUUGAAGAAGGAAUGAAGAUUGACAAGGGCUACAUGUCACCUCACUUCAUUACCGACCACAACAAAUCAGUAGUGGAGUUUGACGGUGCUAAAGUCCUAGUAACGGAUCAGAAGAUUUUGACUGUGAAAGAAAUUGUUCCUUUAUUGGAAAAGACUACCCAGCUUAGUGUCCCACUGCUAAUCAUUGCAGAGGAUAUCUCCGGGCAAGUACUGGAAACACUGGUGGUGAACAAAAUGCAAGGUUUACUAAAUGUUGCUGUGGUCAAAUGUCCAGGACUUGGAGAAGGAAAGAAAGCUCUGUUGCAAGAUAUUGCACUUAUGACAGGUGCUGAUUUUCUCUCGGGAGACUUGGGUUUGACACUUGAAGGUGCAACCUCAGAUCAGCUUGGCAUUGCACGAAAAGUAAUCAUAACCAGUAAUUCAACAACCAUAGUGGCUGAUCCAACUACUAAGGCUGAAAUUGAGGCAAGAAUUUUGCAGAUCAAGAAGGAUCUAGCAGAAACAGAUAAUGCAUACUUGUCAAGGAAGCUCUCAGAAAGAAUUGCUAAACUAUCUGGCGGAGUGGCUGUGAUUAAGGUAGGAGCACACACUGAGGUGGAACUUGAAGAUCGGAAACUCAGAGUUGAAGAUGCAAAGAAUGCCACAUUUGCUGCCAUGGCUGAAGGAUUAGUGCCUGGUGGUGGUACCACAUAUGUACAUCUCUCAGAGCUGAUUCCCAUCAUAAAGAAUUCUAUGGACGAUCCAGAUGAGCAGAUUGGUGCAGAGAUUGUGGCAAAGGUGCUCCUUGAACCUGCAAAAUUAAUUGCCACUAACGCCGGAGUUGAUGGAGACAUUGUUGUAGAGAAGACUAGAAUUUCUGAUUGGCAAACUGGGUACAAUGCAAUGACAGACAGAUAUGAAGAUCUUCUCAGUGCUGGAGUUGCAGAUCCUUGUCGUGUUUCCAGGUGUGCACUUCAAAAUGCAGUGUCAGUUGCUGGGGUAGUUCUAAGUACCCAAGCUGUAUUGGUUGAGAAAACAAAGAAGCCCAAGCCGCCUAUCCCUCUGGUUCCAGGCAUAACUCCUUAAAGCAAGCGAAAAAAGAGGUUAGGCUAGAUAAAAACUGAGAAGGGAUUGUACCAGAAUAUGCCUAUUGUGUUAGCUCAAGACCAAGCUUGUAAAUGUGAGUUUGCUUGGUUUAUACUUGAGAUGUUGAGGUAGCUUUAGAAGCUGUGAAGAGGCCAGGCAAGUCAACUUUCAAUCCAAGCCUUUGGAUUGCGAGAGCAUGAAAUGCUGCAGAUGGAGAAAAGGGAAUGCGUAUGGAGUAACGGUCAGUCUUUAGUUCUUCUGAGGCAUGGGAUGGGAUCAACACAGAAGUUGAUCUACCUUAUAUACUGUCUUAAAGAGGAUGGUAUAUUUCUUUUGUGUUUGCUCCUGGAAAUACUGUCAUGACUAAUAUUCCAGUUGGCUCAGAUCACAUUUUGUAUAUACAGCAGAGAAUGCCAAAUUGUUGAUUUAAAUGGCUAUUCCAAACAGCUAAAUGUUCCAUUUGCUA